AGAGUUUGUUUCUGGCUCAGAUUGAACGCUGGCGGCAGGCCUAACACAUGCAAGUCGAACGGUAACAGGAAGAAGCUUGCUUCUUUGCUGACGAGUGGCGGACGGGUGAGUAAUGUCUGGGAAACUGCCUGAUGGAGGGGGAUAACUACUGGAAACGGUAGCUAAUACCGCAUAACGUCGCAAGACCAAAGAGGGGGACCUUCGGGCCUCUUGCCAUCGGAUGUGCCCAGAUGGGAUUAGCUUGUUGGUGGGGUAACGGCUCACCAAGGCGACGAUCCCUAGCUGGUCUGAGAGGAUGACCAGCCACACUGGAACUGAGACACGGUCCAGACUCCUACGGGAGGCAGCAGUGGGGAAUAUUGCACAAUGGGCGCAAGCCUGAUGCAGCUAUGCCGCGUGUAUGAAGAAGGCCUUCGGGUUGUAAAGUACUUUCAGCGGGGAGGAAGGGAGUAAAGUUAAUACCUUUGCUCAUUGACGUUACCCGCAGAAGAAGCACCGGCUAACUCCGUGCCAGCAGCCGCGGUAAUACGGAGGGUGCAAGCGUUAAUCGGAAUUACUGGGCGUAAAGCGCACGCAGGCGGUUUGUUAAGUCAGAUGUGAAAUCCCCGGGCUCAACCUGGGAACUGCAUCUGAUACUGGCAAGCUUGAGUCUCGUAGAGGGGGGUAGAAUUCCAGGUGUAGCGGUGAAAUGCGUAGAGAUCUGGAGGAAUACCGGUGGCGAAGGCGGCCCCCUGGACGAAGACUGACGCUCAGGUGCGAAAGCGUGGGGAGCAAACAGGAUUAGAUACCCUGGUAGUCCACGCCGUAAACGAUGUCGACUUGGAGGUUGUGCCCUUGAGGCGUGGCUUCCGGAGCUAACGCGUUAAGUCGACCGCCUGGGGAGUACGGCCGCAAGGUUAAAACUCAAAUGAAUUGACGGGGGCCCGCACAAGCGGUGGAGCAUGUGGUUUAAUUCGAUGCAACGCGAAGAACCUUACCUGGUCUUGACAUCCACGGAAGUUUUCAGAGAUGAGAAUGUGCCUUCGGGAACCGUGAGACAGGUGCUGCAUGGCUGUCGUCAGCUCGUGUUGUGAAAUGUUGGGUUAAGUCCCGCAACGAGCGCAACCCUUAUCCUUUGUUGCCAGCGGUCCGGCCGGGAACUCAAAGGAGACUGCCAGUGAUAAACUGGAGGAAGGUGGGGAUGACGUCAAGUCAUCAUGGCCCUUACGACCAGGGCUACACACGUGCUACAAUGGCGCAUACAAAGAGAAGCGACCUCGCGAGAGCAAGCGGACCUCAUAAAGUGCGUCGUAGUCCGGAUUGGAGUCUGCAACUCGACUCCAUGAAGUCGGAAUCGCUAGUAAUCGUGGAUCAGAAUGCCACGGUGAAUACGUAGCCGGGCCUUGCACACACCGCCCGUCA
rnacentral:rRNA from 1 species